AGAUGAUGCAACGGGGCACAGGCUUCUGAAAGGCACACGUGGUCUCAACUGUGGCACCUUGGAAACAGCCUACGAACUCAAAGCUGUCUCAUUCACCGCCAGUCAAAACACCCUGGGACAUCCUGGGGCCCAGAGUAUCCUGCAAGGCUCAUGUGUGACCUCCUGGGAAGCAGGUGGCUAUUGAGCUUGGCAGUCUCUCCCCAGGAUGCGGCAGAGGGGCUCACCUUGGUGCGCCAAGAAGAGCAGCUGAGCUGUGCUGAGUUGGGUCUGUCUCCAUCCAGUAUUUGUGGUAACCACAGGCUUCGGGAUAGUCUGCUUCUACCUGGGCACAGCUGUGGAAACUUCCUCGGGCCUUAGAUUUUGCAUCGUUAGGGAUCCGCACCCAGGCAGGCCCAGUCCUUGACACUAUCUGAUCCAGAGAGCUGCCUUGUGGGGAUGCAGACCUUCUACAAACAGGCACACUAUGCACCAGGCACCCAGCACAGUCACCCUGGCGCUCCACUCUCAAAAACAAAAGAAGGAUGGAGACCCACUGGACACAUAAAAAAGACCAGAAAUACGAGAAAGAAGUAGGAGAACAACCAACCUCAUAGGGAAAAUAAAUAUUUCAGAAAGCAGAAGAUAAUUCCUCAAAAUAUUAACCAGUGUCUUCAGAGGAAUGAAGGUCUGAGGCCUAUAAUGAAAAGGAAAUAAAUAAAUAAAUAAAUAAAUAAAUAAUUGCUGUCAAAAAGGAA
rnacentral:lncRNA from 1 species